AAGUUGUGUUUGUACAGUGUUAAUAAAGUUGUGUGUUUGUACAGUGUUAAUAAAGUUGUGUGUUUGUACAGUGUUAAUAAAGUUGUGUUUGUACAGUGUUAAUAAAGUUUUGUGUUUGUACAGUGAUAAUAAAGUUGUGUUUGUACAGUGUUAAUAAAGUUGUGUGUUUGUACAGUGUUAAUAAAGUUGUGUGUUUGUACAGUGUUAAUAAAGUUGUGUGUCUGUACAGUGUUAAUAAAGUUGUGUGUCUGUACAGUGUUAAUAAAGUUGUGUGUUUGUACAGUGUUAAUAAAGUUGUGUGUUUGUACAGUGUUAAUAAAGUUGUGUGUUUGUACAGUGAUAAUAAAGUUGUGUGUUUGUACAGUGUUAAUAAAGUUUUGUGUCUGUACAGUGUUAAUAAAGUUGUGUGUCUGUACAGUGAUAAUAAAGUUGUGUGUUUGUACAGUGUUAAUAAAGUUGUGUGGGUUAGGGUCUGUGUGUCUAAAAGUUGAAGAUUGAUUGACGGGUGAAUGUCUGAUAUUAUCGGUACCCUCCACAUAUACAAAUAAACUUGAAUUGAAUAUUUUUGUUUUCACUGUUAUUUGUAUAUCAAGUUAAAAGCUGGUAUAUGUUAGACGGACAGACGGACAGACAGACAGACAGACAGACAGACAGACAGACAGACAGACAGACAGACAGACAGACAGACAGACAGACAGACAGACAGA